UACAGAGGGUACGAGCGUUGUUCGGAAUUAUUGGGCGUAAAGAGCUCGUAGGCGGUUUGUCGCGUCUGCUGUGAAAACUGGAGGCUCAACCUCCAGCCUGCAGUGGGUACGGGCAGACUAGAGUGCGGUAGGGGAGAUUGGAAUUCCUGGUGUAGCGGUGGAAUGCGCAGAUAUCAGGAGGAACACCGAUGGCGAAGGCAGAUCUCUGGGCCGUAACUGACGCUGAGGAGCGAAAGCAUGGGGAGCGAACAGG
rnacentral:rRNA from 1 species